GUUUAUAUAGUCAUGAAGUGCCCCUUCGGAAAGGAGCCAAUGGUUCAUUGGAAAGGUGUAUCAUUUCGGAAUGGUCAUGUUUGUUCAUUCGAAACAGUAUGUCUUUUCUGAACAAACACAAUCAUCUGAAUAGUCAUCCUUGUUCCCGAAAUGGUGUAUCUUUUACUUGAAUAGUUGUAUCCCUUCAACGUUUUCUGCACU
rnacentral:lncRNA from 1 species